rnacentral:rRNA from 1 species
AUUGGACGCUAGCGGCAUGCCUAACACAUGCAAGUCGAACGGCAGCGCGGGGAGCUUGCUCCCUGGCGGCGAGUGGCGGACGGGUGAGUAACGCGUAGGAAUCUACCUUAUAGUGGGGGACAACCCGAGGAAACUCGGGCUAAUACCGCAUAAUCUCUAAGGAGCAAAGCGGGGGAUCUUCGGACCUCGCGCUGUAAGAUGAGCCUGCGUCGGAUUAGCUUGUUGGUGGGGUAAUGGCCUACCAAGGCAACGAUCCGUAGCUGGUCUGAGAGGACGAUCCGCCACACUGGGACUGAGACACGGCCCAG